GACGAACGCUGGCGGCGUGCCUAAUACAUGCAAGUCGAGCGAGUCUGCCUUGAAGAUCGGAGUGCUUGCACUCUGUGAAACAAGAUACAGGCUAGCGGCGGACGGGUGAGUAACACGUGGGUAACCUGCCCAAGAGAUCGGGAUAACACCUGGAAACAGAUGCUAAUACCGGCUAACAACAGAUGAUGCCUAUCAACUGUUUAAAAGAUGGUUCUGCUAUCACUCUUGGAUGGACCUGCGGUGCAUUAGCUAGUUGGUAGGGUAACGGCCUACCAAGGCGAUGAUGCAUAGCCGAGUUGAGAGACUGAUCGGCCACAUUGGGACUGAGACACGGCCCAAACUCCUACGGGAGGCGGCAGUAGGGAAUCUUCCACAAUGGACGCAAGUCUGAUGGAGCAACGCCGCGUGAGUGAAGAAGGGUUUCGGCUCGUAAAGCUCUGUUGUUGGUGAAGAAGGACAGGGGUAGUAACUGACCUUUGUUUGACGGUAAUCAAUUAGAAAGUCACGGCUAACUACGUG
rnacentral:rRNA from 1 species